rnacentral:rRNA from 1 species
UCGCGGAAUGCUUUACACAUGCAAGUCGAACGGCAGCACGGGGGCACCCUGGUGGCGAGUGGCGAACGGGUGAGUAAUACAUCGGAACGUGCCCAGUCGUGGGGGAUAACGUAGCGAAAGCUACGCUAAUACCGCAUGAGAUCUACGGAUGAAAGCGGGGGAUCGCAAGACCUCGCGCGAUUGGAGCGGCCGAUGGCAGAUUAGGUAGUUGGUGGGGUAAAGGCCUACCAAGCCUGCGAUCUGUAGCUGGUCUGAGAGGACGACCAGCCACACUGGGACUGAGACACGGCCCAGACUCCUACGGGAGGCAGCAGUGGGGAAUUUUGGACAAUGGGCGCAAGCCUGAUCCAGCCAUUCCGCGUGCAGGAUGAAGGCCUUCGGGUUGUAAACUGCUUUUGUACGGAACGAAACGGUCCUGGUUAAUACCCGGGGCUAAUGACGGUACCGUAAGAAUAAGCACCGGCUAACUACGUGCCAGCAGCCGCGGUAAUACGUAGGGUGCAAGCGUUAAUCGGAAUUACUGGGCGUAAAGCGUGCGCAGGCGGUG